rnacentral:rRNA from 1 species
CUCCUACGGGAGGCAGCAGUGAGGAAUAUUGGACAAUCAGCGAAAGCUGGAUCCAGCAACGCCGCGUGGACGAUGAAGGCCUUCGGGUUGUAAAGUCCUUUUCAGAGGGAAGAGGAAGGACGGUACCUCUGGAAUAAGUCUCGGCUAACUACGUGCCAGCAGCCGCGGUAACACGUAGGAGGCAAGCGUUAUCCGGAUUCAUUGGGCGUAAAGCGCACGCAGGCGGCUAGGUAAGUCGGGUGUGAAAGCCCCGGACUUAAUCCGGGGAGGUCAUUCGAUACUGCUUGGCUUGAGAGCGGGAGAGGGAAGUGGAAUUCUCGGUGUAGUGGUGAUAUGCGUAGAUAUCGAGAGGAACACCAGUGGCGAAGGCGGCUUCCUGGCCCGUUUCUGACGCUAAGGUGCGAAAGCGUGGGGAGCAAACGGACUUAGAUACUCCGGUAGUCCACGCCGUAAACGAUGAAUGUUAGCCGUCGGGUAGCAUGCUAUUCGGUGGCGCAGCUAACGCAUUAAACAUUCCGCCUGGGGAGUACGGUCGCAAGAUUAAAACUCAAAGGAAUUGACGG